CACUAUGAUGAAAUAAUGACUGCGUUCUUUCCGAGUUGACCUUUGAAGACACACAUCACUUUGGAGAACUGACAA
rnacentral:snoRNA from 1 species